GAGUAGUGUAGUGGUAGAGCACGCGUCUCCGGAUAGGAUGAAACGCGGGUUCGACACCCGCCAGAGAGUCA